rnacentral:rRNA from 1 species
GUCCACGCCGUAAACGGUGGGCGCUAGGUGUGGGGCACUUUCCACGUGCUCUGUGCCGCAGCUAACGCAUUAAGCGCCCCGCCUGGGGAGUACGGCCGCAAGGCUAAAACUCAAAGGAAUUGACGGGGGCCCGCACAAGCGGCGGAGCAUGCGGCUUAAUUCGAAGCAACGCGAAGAACCUUACCAAGGCUUGACAUAUAGGGAAAUCUCAUAGAGAUAUGAGGUCCGCAAGGGUCCUAUACAGGUGGUGCAUGGUUGUCGU